AAGUUGUCAGCCAGAGUGAAGCCUUGAGAUGUAACUGUGAAGCCCUGAGAAGCUGUUCCAGCCCCGUGGAGACCUGACAAACAGUAUCUGCGCUGGAGCGAGUGCAUGAGCUGUUUACAGACAUAAACUCCUAUGACUCCGGAUCUGCAAUUGGUACAAGGUACAAUUAAAAGCAGCAGAGUUGGAAAGCAGCCUUCUCUGUCAUCAGUUCCUGUAACCUUGCAUGCAGCAGCUGCACCAGAAGGUUUUGGCCACAAGAACGAGCAGAUGCAUUAUUCUGGGAUUAUUUGAGUCGUAAAAAAUAUGGGUUUUCCAUGAACUGUGCAACAAAACCAGACAAUAAAAAGGGAUCAAACAUCUGAGGAAUCUAAACUCAGGAGACAACUCACCAGUGAAACCAUGAAGGCUGUGAUCCUCGCUCUUUUGGUGGUGUUGGUUGUCGGCCACAGUGAAGCCUUGAGGUGUUACUGUAAUGGUCCUAGACAGUGUUCAGACGGUAUUCAGACCUGCUCUGGUUCAGACAAAGUCUGUAUCAACUUCAGGUUUAACCCCCCUUCUACAGCAUACUUCCAGAGAUGCAGUGGAGCAGCUUAUUGUCGAAUGUUUAUUAAUUCAGGGAUAGCAACCGUGUCCUGCUGCAGCUGUGAUCUGUGCAACUAAACAAUGAACAUUGUGCAACACAUCUUCCAGUGAAUGAACAAUCCACUGUAAUGUAGUGUUUGCUGCAUGGUCCUAAUAAAGAUCAUUCAGUUGCUG